rnacentral:lncRNA from 1 species
CUGAAGUGUGCGUGGAGGAGUCUGCACAUGUGGUUUCUUCUAAUCUAGCAAGUGAAAGUUUUGGCAAAUGUGGGAUUUAGUAGUUGUGGAUGGGGGCUAUGUGCCAGUUUUCCUCCUGGAGAAGGUAGAGGAAGUUGAUGAAGAGUGCUGAGCUAUGCCUGUUUGGGGAUGAAUUUCAGUUUCAUGCUUGCCUCAGUGCUUGCUCUAUGCUCUAAGGCCGUUCUAAUGCUGCUGUGGCUAGAAUAACUGCAGUGCAGUGUUAGCAGCCACAGGAAAGCAGAGCUGUGGUUGCUGCUGCCCUUUGCUGUCUAUGGGAAGUAGAAGCUUCUAACCAAUGGAGUUGCAACUCAGCUGAGAAGAGUGUUAAAGGAGCUACUCCUCAUGUAUGGAGCUUGAAAAGACUGAUUGAAUUUAGAAGAGUAAUAUGUGACAAUUGGUAAU